UACGGGGGGAGCAAGCGUUGUUCGGAUUUACUGGGCGUAAAGGGCGCGUAGGCGGCCAGCACAGGUCAGUUGUGAAAUCUCCGAGCUUAACUCGGAACGGUCAACUGAUACUGUGCGGCUAGAGUGCGGAAGGGGCAACUGGAAUUCUUGGUGUAGCGGUGAAAUGCGUAGAUAUCGUAAGGAAGACCAGUGGCGAAGGCGGGUCUCUGGACAGUUCCUGACGCUGAGGCACGAAGGUCAGGGGAGCAAACGGG
rnacentral:rRNA from 1 species